AACCGCAUAUUGUCCACUGGAAUUGUCUGAAUUUGAAUUAUGUCUGUGUAUGCAUAUAUUUUGCAGGCAUAUGUGUAUGUCUUUACAUUCAUACAUUAAUAAGUAACAACUUAAAAGACAAAUUUGCCAAUAUCUAGUAAUUAUUCUUGGUUACAUAAUUAUCUGACAGGAUACAAUAAACAAAGUAAACUGUACUGGGAAUUGAACUCCUAAUGGACUGUAACUCACAAAGAGGAAGACCGCAGUGUUUGUGACGUCACGACUGGGGGAAGCAAGCAUUCUACUCACCUAUGCCGCCCCAGACCUUGAAGUGGAAGAGGGAGGGCAGCUAGACUCGCAAUUCAGCCUGGUGCAGGCGGUCAUUUUGUCGAGGCAAACACUUUCUAAACGUGCUUAAGGUUUUCCUACACAGAAGCUCUAAUGCUGCGGGUGCCACGAUAAGCAAGAAAAAAAUAGGAAGCAGGAGCUGCGCUCUAGAAUACAGCUCUAGGGCUGCUAUGAGAGGAGACGGACCUAGGAAAGUGUUAGCAAAUCGAUAGUCCCUAAGACUUUCCCCCCUUCCUGCCUUAUUCCUCCCGGUUUAGACAAGGAUUAAAAUCUGUGCCCUUGAAGAUGGAUGAACUAAAAAUGCCCAUACCAGAUGGUCCAAGAGAAAUUAUUUCUUGAUAUCCAAGACAAGGACUGGAAAAAGAGUGGGAAAGCUUCAAAGGACUGUAAUUUUUUUUAAUUAAAAAAAAAGGCAAGGUGAAAUAAUUCAUAAUAAGGAAAUGAAUGAAAGUGAAAUGUGCAAUCUAAAAAUGUAAUCCGGAUUAUGCAUAAAAAAGUGGCAAUAUUUAAAAAACAAAGAAUACCUAACUUUUAUUGAAAUUCCUCCUAUUUUUGUAGUGACUUAGAACUAAUCUUGACAAAUUAAGAACAGAGUUUUCCUCUUCAAUUCUGACAAUGCAGAAACAUUCAGAGAAAUAAAUAUGGAUUUCAAAAGGUACAUUAAAAAGUUACUUAUCACAAUUUAAAAAACCUAGGCAGUCAAGCUAAUAUUGUUGACAUAUUAAUGCACUGUAGAUUAUGUUUUAAAAACAAUUUCUUGGGUUGGAUCCAA
rnacentral:lncRNA from 1 species